UGUAGACAUUUGGGCCACAUCUUCUCUUGCAGAUGCCUGCAGACGUGGUUCGCAGACUACAGACAUUUUACAUCUGAAAACAGCACCUAAAAGAGAAUACAUGGAGGGGACAUACAUACGCUGCCAUACGAAUACCUAUUGUUGUUUUUUUAACGAAGACAUCAAAGGGACGGAUUUUGGAGCUUUGAAGAAUAAAAGAGAAGGCUUGGGGAUUAAAGAUCUUCGUUAAAGCUUUAAGUUUUCAGUUAGAACUCGUUUAUGUUUUCGGUUUUUGAUUGAACUUGAAUCUCAUGACAAUGUUUUCUGAUUCGACUUGCUUUAAACUUAUUUUUAUUUUGCUUCCGACUAUGAGAUAGCUAAACUUGUUAUGGUUGCUUAGGUUGAUGAACUAGACAAAUUGUCUAAAUGAUUAACUUUUGGUUUUGAAUGAAUGUAUUGAUUUACAUGUUACAACAUUGAAAACCAAUUUUAAAUAAUCAUGUCUUGGUAUAUAUACUUUAGUUACGGGAGUCAGUCUAGGUUGUUAAUCUAUCAGUCUAGACCUCGAAGGUGAGACAUCUAAUUCAGGUUUAAUAACUAUUAAAACCAAUUGAUUAAAACGUGCAAUCUUUACUAGAAGUGAGAAAUCUAAUUUAGAAUUGCUAGGUUAUUAGUUGGGUGUUGUUAGGCGGUUUGGGUAGCCGAACACUCGGGGUCACCUGUUUCUUUGCGUCUAGAGUUUCUUAGGGUUUCGGUGUUCUUAGUUGUUUCAGCUUCAUAACUUGAGGGUUUGAGUACAUAAAUCACUUUGUACCUCAUAGUUAUGGGAUUUGGUGGUCAAUAACUCGAGUAAGUCCAUUUUAGCAUUUCUUCACGUGUCUUACUGUUAAAUUUGGUUUAUCUUCCUGGGGUUUAUCGGGUUAGACAAAGUCUUCAUUCACAACAAAGGUUAGGAUUUUAUUUAUGAGUCUAGGGAUUCUUGCCAAGGUAAUCUAUUUUUCCCAUACUUGAGUUUCAGUCCAGUCUCCAGUUGUCCAACCUUGUUGUCUGUUUGGUCGUCUAUUUGUUUCAUAUGCUUUUUAGUUACUAACCAUUUUCUCAACAACCAAACUAUUAGGCUAUGGGUAGAUAGAGGUAUUGUACCAACAGUCGCUACUAUUGUAUCUACGGUUCGAUACUCGGACUUACUUGCUUUACUACUUUUCGACCGGUACACUUGCCGGUAGUGUGUGGUUUAGCUGGUUUUCCAAUUUUAAAACUUGUUUGUAUUUAAUUAAUACAUAUUUCACACACCAAUUUUUUGGCGCCGUUUCCAGGGACACAAUGCGCUUUUGAGGACGACCCGAGUCGGGGAUCUAGCCAUUUUACUGUUCUCUUAGAAUUAGUUUGUUUUUCUUUAGUUAAAAAACUAAAUAUAAAAAUAU
rnacentral:lncRNA from 1 species